GUUUGCUUUGGCCCCACAUAUACAAAAAUUGGAACAAUUCAGAGAAAAUUAGCAUGGCUCCUGAAUAAGGAUGACAUGCAAAUUUGUGAAUAAUUCAUUUUUUUA
ensembl:snRNA U6 U6 spliceosomal RNA